GCAUUUAUAGGCUUAUAAUGUUGGGAAAUUUUGUCUUGUGUCUUUAUUUUUCAUGUUUAACUGCAUUUAAACUUGAGAACAAGUACAAUUAGCUGUCAGUUGAAAAGAUUGAGCUUUAGAUAAUUUUAACAGAUUUGGUCCUAGGUUGUGGUUGGAUUGGAAUUUCUAUAAGGGAAAAAAAAAAAAAUCCAUGUUUCUGG
rnacentral:misc_RNA from 1 species